rnacentral:rRNA from 1 species
GUAGGGAAUAUUGGGCAAUGGAUGCAAGUCUGACCCAGCCAUCCCGCGUGCCGGAAGAAGGCCCUCAGGGUUGUAAACGGCUUUUGACGGUGAAGAAUCGACAGGAUGCGUCCUGUUUUGACGGUAGCCGUUGAAUAAGCACCGGCUAACUCCGUGCCAGCAGCCGCGGUAAUACGGAGGGUGCGAGCGUUGUCCGGAUUUAUUGGGUUUAAAGGGUGCUUAGGCUGGAAGGUCAGUCAGCGGUGAAAAGCUGUCGCUUAACGAUAGUCUUGCCGCAGAUACUUCCUUUCUUGGAUGAGGAGGAGGCCACUGGAACGGAUGGUGUAGCGGUGAAAUGCAUAGAUAUCAUCCAGAACACCGAUUGCGAAGGCAGGUGGCUGUACCUUAAUCGACGCUGAUGCACGAAAGCAUGGGGAGCAAACAGGAUUAGAAACCCUUGUAGUCC